rnacentral:lncRNA from 1 species
UCCGAUGACAUGUUUAGUUAGUAGUGAUAGAGUAGCCAGACGAUGUGUGUGCAUCAACAUAGUUACAUGAGUUUGUAUGGAUUUGAGAUAUGAUAAUUGAGGUGUCUGGAUGUGGAUUACAUUAUUCAAGGGGUGCCCGGUUGGUGCUCGUGGACGCGCCCGGGCACGUCCGCGAUCCUUUGAGGGGCGGAUUUGACAAUUUCUCUACUAUUAAAGGGGGAUCGAACGUUGUGAUGGUUCAACCUCCCCUCGUUGUUCGACCACCUUGUUCGAUCCCCCCGCCUCAUACGACGGCCAUCGUGCAGUGUCCCACACGCCCGCACAAAAUCCAGCCCGCAAGCCCAAAAAACCAAGGCCAACUCAUUCGAUAUUCGGCCCAUGGACCACCAGUCAAACGAGCCAAACCCCACUAUCACACACCUAGCCAACAAACAAAACAGUUCGGCAACCCACGAACGAGGUCCAUCUACCAAAAAUCAAACCAUCGAACAAGCUCCAUCGACCCGCCAACGCACGUUGCCACCAAGGACAUAAAUGCCAGUUCUUCCUCGCGUACGAGCUCCAUCGACCCAGUUGUGUGAUCAUCACAACUACACCGCAACCUCGGCGUCCGAAACAUAACCUUCGCUCGAUGGCUGUUGCGAGGCGACGGCUGUUGCUGCAAAGGACGAAGAUCCUGUUGCGAGGCGAUGGCUGUUGCUACAAAGGAUGGAGAUCCACCUUUGUUAUAUUCAACGGUGCCCAUCAUGCCCUAGGUUUGCCAUCAUCAACUAUUUCAGCAAUGUAGUUACCUGCAUAUUACAGUAGUACUCAGAUUGCAUCUUUAACUUGAACUCCAACUACAUUGAAAAAGCAUCACAGGACAGAGGUAUCUCCAACCAGCUUUGUACCAACAGUUAAAUACCUUUCUGUCCACCGUAGUGUGUGAGUUGUGUCCCUGUUCGACUUGUGCUCUUCCUAUUGUUGCAGUGUGCUGGAAGGCUUCGGCUUUCUUAGAUUCUUACUACUUUCUGUAUAGAAGAGAAAAUGGUAUGGUAAAUAUAAUAUUUAUUGAACAAAUCUCUAAUCUGCACUAUUAGCCAAGAGCAAGAUGCCUAGCUUAAAAGACAAUAUCUCUAUUUUUUUUGUGCAACAUGCCCAGGUUAAAAGACAACAACAAUAUGCCCAGGUUAAAAGACAAUAUCUCUGUUUUUUGGCAGUAAUAAUAGCCUUGUCAGUACCCACAGCAGAACAUCAUACUUUGUUAGCUUUUUCUUGUCACUAUCUAAUCUGCACUAUUAGACACGAGCAAGAUGCCCAGGUUAAAAGACAAUAUCUCUGUUUUUUGGCGCACCAUGCCCAGGUUAAAAGACAACAACAAUAUGCCCAGGUUAAAAGACAAUAUCUCUGUUUUUAGCAGUAAUAAUAGCCUUGUCACUACCUACAGUAGAACAUCAUACUUUCUUAGAUUUUUCUUGUCACUAUCUACAUCUUAUUAUUGAUAAUAUAAUCAUAUAAAGACUGCAUGUUUAGUUUAGAACAUAUCUCUAGUAUUAAAGGGGGAUCGAACGUCGUGAUGGUUCGACCUCCACUCGUGGUUCGACCACCUCAUUCGAUCCCCCGCCUCGUAUGACAGCCAUCGCGCAGUGUCCCACAUGCCCGCACAAAAUCCAGCCCGCGACAUCUACCCGUCCUAUACUUGUUUAAGCUGGAAAUAACAAUAGACAACGUGAAAUUUCAAACAGAUGCAGGAGGAAGAUGUUUGGACAGUGACUUGCUAAAGAAGAACAAAAAUACUAAGGUGUCGUAUUUCUUUCUAAUUCAUAUGUUUUUAAAUAUGGUAAAAACAUGUGGCAUCUAAUAUCAUAUAUAGAAAUAUAAAAACUGACUUAAACUUCAAUUGCAUAGAAUCUCUUGUUAGAAAUACAUGGAUAAGAAAGUAUGUAUCUAAUAAUUAAUGAAGAACCCAAGCUGAGUGAAGCCAUCAGUGAUCUCCUCAUAUCUCUACUAUCUCAACUAUUAAAGGAUGAGUUUUUCUAGGCGACACAUACUUCGAUAUGAAGAAAAGGAACAUAAUCUGUUGAUCUGCUUUUUUCGGUACCUCUGUGAUAAGAUUUAGCACGCAACUAUCCUUAAUUUCUAACAUGUUCUUAAACAUCAAUUUCAGGCCUCAAAAUUCAAUGCAUAAGGUGAUUCCAAAGUACCAUGUACAGGAUUAGAAACAUCAACCUUAAGCUAUUUGCCAAAAGAUGCAGACCAAGCUUUGCAUUCGAUUUUUACAAAUGGUACAUCAGUAUGACUGUCACCAUUGUAGAGUACUGACAUUUAUUUUAGGUUACCUGGCAUAAAUCUGUAUGAUUCUGCCAUUGUGUUUUGCUUUCUUGAAAUGCAUUGUGGGUGUGUACAAUUCAAAAUUUGGUCAGGAUUGGUAGAUCGAACAAGAAGAGGAAGCUAGCCUCCUUGACCACAGUUAUUUUCCUUCUUGGAAGUUUCAAGACACUCAGGCACAUUCACCAAGAACACAUGAGUCACAACGUUAAGGUGUUAACCAUCUUCUAGAGUAGACUAUAACUAUACACAAUGUUAAGGCCAUGCUACUACCUUUGCCUGAUUGAGGCGUAAGUGAUUUCCUUGAUCCGAUUGAUGCUCACGCUAUGCCUUUUUUAAUAGGAACGGCUAAAAUGGUUUAAAGAAUAAAUAUUAGAAGACACUUUGCAUGUUCUACUAAAACCAAGUUUUACUAAUUAUGUCCCUAAAAAACUAUACUUUUUGUUACGCUAACAAAUUUCUGCUGGUUAGCCCAUUAAACGAGUUUAUGGGAAACUGAAUUGGCAAAAACUCCGUAUCCAAUCCAAACAACCCCAAGAAAGGUUUAAUCAUCAUCUCACUAAAUAACAACCUAAUCCUAACCGUAUACCAAUACUACUCAUCUAGCUAGCCUUAUAAUGCAAGCACAAGUUAAUUUUACUCCUCCCUAAUUAAUAGUACUCCUGAAUGACAGAUAUAACUACUCCUGAAUGACCAAUACUACUGGAGGAGUACUCCUUAACUGAAAAGAUUUAAGUUAAUUAAAGGAAAAGGCUUCAGUUUAUUUUUAUUAACAAAAAAUGUUUUUAUUUAAUUUGAGUUAACACAAAAGAUUUCAGUUAAUUACUACUGGAGGAGUAAAUUAAAAGGUUUAACUUAAUUAAAGGAAAAGGUUUGAAUUUAUUUUAAUUAAUAGAAAAAUGUUUCAGCCAAAGUUACAGUUAAAGCAGAUAAGAGAAUGCUCCUACUGUACUGAAAAAGAAGAGAGGGGAGAGGACACUACUGCACUUGCUACAGAGUAUGUAGGGGGGACUACUCAAGUAGUGCAACCAAGCAAAAUUGCAAGCUACUACUGUUGUAAGCAAAUUCUGUUAAAGCAAGUUCUUCCUACUGCAAUUUAAAGCAAGCACAACUUGCAUAAUUCACAACAAAAAGGCAGGACAAGGAAAGUGUAAUGGUGGAUGACUGAGUGAUGCUAACAAAUCAAAAAAUGGACAAUUUGUGCAGGUUGUAAACAAUUAUCCCUCUGAAUGAACGAAUGAAGGAAGCUCAUGAUUGAAUGCAAGAACAAUUCCAUGAAUGAUCUUAGCUGAAUUUGACUGAAUUGUCUUAGCUAAAUUUGACUGAAUUAUUCAGUCCAUGGAUGAUCCAAUAACAAUCAUAACAAAAUCCUUAACUGAAUUUGACUGAAUUAUGCACAAACAUUAUUCAGUCCAUGCUAAACUUUGAGAUUUCUACAGUUUUAUCUUGACUGAAUUAUGCAUAAGUAAGUUGCAGAAGCAUAACAUGGAGCAUAACAAAGCAUAACAUGGAGUACCUUCCAUGGCGACCCAGGAAGAAGCAGAGUUGGAGAAGCAUGUCCAUGUCCAUCCGGGAAGCAGCGCCUCCUGCCUAUUUCCUUGGCCAUUGUACUAUCUCCGGCGGGGGCGUAGGUGGAGGUGGAGGGUGGGGGCAUAGGCGGAGGUGGAAGACGACCAUCAGGCUACUCUCUUUCUCCUCUCCUCGCUGGUGUAGUUGGUGGCCCUUCCAUGGCGUCGCC